rnacentral:sRNA from 1 species
AAGGUGAUUUGCUACCUUUAAGUGCAGCUAGAAAUUUAGGUGAUUUGCUACCUUUAAGUGCAGCUAGAAAUUCAGGUGAUUUGCUACCUUUAAGUGCAGCUAGAAAUUCAGGUGAUUUGCUACCUUUAAGUGCAGCUAGAAAUUCAGGUGAUUUGCUACCUUUAAGUGCAGCUAGAAAUUCAGGUGAUUUACUACCUUUAAGUAAUAAAGUAAAAGAGGCGACUACAUAGUCGCCUUUUUUACGAGAAAAAU